CCUACGGGAGGCAGCAGUGAGGAAUAUUGGUCAAUGGACGAGAGUCUGAACCAGCAAAGUAGCGUGAAGGAUGACUGCCCUAUGGGUUGUAAACUUCUUUUAUAUGGGAGUAAAAUGUUCCACGUGUGUGAUUUUGUAUGUACCAUAUGAAUAAGGAUCGGCUAACUCCGUGCCAGCAGCCGCGGUAAUACGGAGGAUCCGAGCGUUAUCCGGAUUUAUUUGGUUUAAAGGGAGCGUAGGUGGAUUGUUAAGUCAGUUGUGAAAGUUUGCGGCUCAACCGGAAAAUUGCAUUUGAAACUGGCAGUCUUGAGUGCAGUAGAGGUGGGCGGAAGUCGUGGUGUAGCGGUGAAAUGCUUAGAUAUAACGAAGAACUCCGAUUGCGAAGGCAGCUCACUGGACUGCAACUGACACUGAGGCUCGAAAGUGUGGGUAUCAAACAGGAUUAGAUACCCGAGUAGUC
rnacentral:rRNA from 1 species